rnacentral:rRNA from 1 species
GACGAACGCUGGCGGCGUGCUUAACACAUGCAAGUCGAACGGAAAGGCCCUGCUUUUGUGGGGUGCUCGAGUGGCGAACGGGUGAGUAACACGUGAGUAACCUGCCCUUGACUUUGGGAUAACUUCAGGAAACUGGGGCUAAUACCGUAUAGGAGCUCCUGCUGCAUGGUGGGGGUUGGAAAUUUUAGGCGGUUGGGGAUGGACUCGCGGCUUAUCAGCUUGUUGGUGGGGUAGUGGCUUACCAAGGGUUUGACGGGUAGCCGGCCUGAGAGGGUGACCGGCCACAUUGGGACUGAGAUACGGCCCAGACUCCUACGGGAGGCAGCAGUGGGGAAUAUUGCACAAUGGGCGGAAGCCUGAUGAAGAAACGCCGCGUGCGGGAUGCCGGCCUUCGGGUUGUAAACAGCUUUAGCCUGUGACGAAGCGUGAGUGACGGUAAUGGGUAAAGAAGCACCGGCUAACUACGUG